rnacentral:rRNA from 1 species
AAGGCUAAUAUGCCAAGUCCGACGAGAGAACCUUCGGGUCUCUAGUGGCGAACGGGUGAGUAACACGUAGGGAACCUGCCCGCGCACCGGGAAUACGCUCUGGAAACGGAGAACAAAUCCCGAUGUACAGGAAGGAGGCAUCUUCUUUCUGUGAAACAUCCUUUCGGGGAUGGGGCGCGGAUGGACCUGCGGUGCAUUAGUUGGUUGGCGGGGUAAAGGCCCACCAAGACGAUGAUGCAUAGCCGGCCUGAGAGGGCGGACGGCCACAUUGGGACUGAGACACGGCCCAGACUCCCGCGGGAGGCAGCAGUAGGGAAUUUUCGUCAAUGGGCGCAAGCCUGAACGAGCGAUGCUGCGUGAGUGAAGAAGGCCUUCGGGUCGUAAAGCUCUGUUGCGGGGGAAAAAAGGCAGCAUCAGGAAAUGGGUGCUGACUGAUGGUGCCCCGCCAGAAAGUCACGGCUAACUACGUGCCAGCAGCCGCGGUAAUACGUAGGUGGCGAGCGUUAUCCGGAAUGAUUGGGCGUAAAGGGUGCGCAGGCGGUCCUGCAAGUCUGGAGUGAAACGCAUGAGCUCAACUCAUGCAUGGCUUUGGAAACUGGAGGACUGGAGAGCAGGAGAGGGCGGUGGAACUCCAUGUGUAGCGGUAAAAUGCGUAGAUAUAUGGAAGAACACCAGUGGCGAAGGCGGCCGCCUGGCCUGUUGCUGACGCUGAGGCACGAAAGCGUGGGGAGCAAAUAGGAUUAGAUACCC